rnacentral:rRNA from 1 species
ACCGCCAGCUAAGGUCCCAAAGUCAUGGUUAAGUGGGAAACGAUGUGGGAAGGCCCAGACAGCCAGGAUGUUGGCUUAGAAGCAGCCAUCAUUUAAAGAAAGCGUAAUAGCUCACUGGUCGAGUCGGCCUGCGCGGAAGAUGUAACGGGGCUAAACCAUGCACCGAAGCUGCGGCAGCGACGCUUAUGCGUUGUUGGGUAGGGGAGCGUUCUGUAAGCCUGUGAAGGUGUACUGUGAGGUAUGCUGGAGGUAUCAGAAGUGCGAAUGCUGACAUAAGUAACGAUAAAGCGGGUGAAAAGCCCGCUCGCCGGAAGACCAAGGGUUCCUGUCCAACGUUAAUCGGGGCAGGGUGAGUCGACCCCUAAGGCGAGGCCGAAAGGCGUAGUCGAUGGGAAACAGGUUAAUAUUCCUGUACUUGGUGUUACUGCGAAGGGGGGACGGAGAAGGCUAUGUUGGCCGGGCGACGGUUGUCCCGGUUUAAGCGUGUAGGCUGGUUUUCCAGGCAAAUCCGGAAAAUCAAGGCCGAGGCGUGAUGACGAGGCACUACGGUGCUGAAGCAACAAAUGCCCUGCUUCCAGGAAAAGCCUCUAAGCAUCAGGUAACAUCAAAUCGUACCCCAAACCGACACAGGUGGUCAGGUAGAGAAUACCAAGGCGCUUGAGAGAACUCGGGUGAAGGAACUAGGCAAAAUGGUGCCGUAACUUCGGGAGAAGGCACGCUGAUACGUAGGUGAAGCGACUUGCUCGUGGAGCUGAAAUCAGUCGAAGAUACCAGCUGGCUGCAACUGUUUAUUAAAAACACAGCACUGUGCAAACACGAAAGUGGACGUAUACGGUGUGACGCCUGCCCGGUGCCGGAAGGUUAAUUGAUGGGGUUAGCGCAAGCGAAGCUCUUGAUCGAAGCCCCGGUAAACGGCGGCCGUAA